GGCUCAGGAUGAACGCUGGCGGCGUGCUUAACACAUGCAAGUCGAACGAAGCAUUUUGAUCUGAUCAUUUCGGUGUGAAGAGCUUAAUGGCUUAGUGGCGGACGGGUGAGUAACGCGUGGGUAACCUACCUCAUACAGGGGGAUAGCAGUUGGAAACGACUGAUAAUACCGCAUAAGCGCACAGGACCGCAUGGUCCAGUGUGAAAAGCCUUUACGGUAUGAGAUGGACCCGCGUCUGAUUAGGCAGUUGGCAGGGUAACGGCCUACCAAACCGACGAUCAGUAGCCGACCUGAGAGGGUGACCGGCCACAUUGGGACUGAGACACGGCCCAAACUCCUACGGGAGGCAGCAGUGGGGAAUAUUGCACAAUGGGCGAAAGCCUGAUGCAAGCGACGCCGCGUGAGCGAAGAAGUAUUUCGGUAUGUAAAGCUCUAUCAGCAGGGAAGAAGAAUGACGGUACCUGACUAAGAAGCACCGGCUAAAUACGUGCCAGCCGCCGC
rnacentral:rRNA from 1 species